GCCUAGCAGGCUAUUACUGCCCUGCUGGCACGAAACACCGAAGCGAGAUGCCAUGCCCUGCUGGUACCUGGAACGAGAGGAGGGGAGCCCAGGAUGCCAGCUGGUGUCUACCCUGCCCCCCUGGGUUCUUCUGCAAUGUGGCAGGCCAGGUUUCCCCUACAGGGCUUUGUGCAGCAGGCUAUUACUGCACAGGAGGGACACGGACCCCAAAGCCAAUGGAUGCUGUGACGGGGGAUCUCUGUCCCGAAGGACACUUCUGCCUUGCAGGCUCAGCAGCACCCUCCCCGUGCCCAGAUGGGGAAUACAGCAAUGCAACAGGUCAAGACAAAUGCUUCCCAUGUCCAGCUGGGUUUCACUGUCAGCGCGGCAUAAUGCACCAUUGUCCACCUGGCUUUUACUGCCCCCAGAAGACUGGAAUCAGCUUUUACCCUUGUCCAGCUGGCACUUACAACCCAUCUCAUGGAAUCAGCCAGGCCGAGAGGUGCCAGCAAUGCCCUGCAGGGAUGUUUUGUGGAGAAUGGGGAUUAUCCUCUCCGAGUGGCCCCUGCUGGCCAGGAUUCUUCUGCACAGCAGGAGCCAGUGUCCCAAACCCUGAUGGAUCCACAAAUACAAGCACUGGAGGCCCAUGCCCACCUGGGCAUUUUUGCCCAGCUGGGACCAGCAUCCCAUUUCCAUGCCCCGUGGGCACGUUCUCGGACAGACGCUACCUCUGGCUGGAGUCAAGCUGCACUGUGUGUCCGCCUGGCUAUUACUGCAGCUCAACCGGUCUCGCCGCUCCCUCGGGAUCCUGCUCUGCUGGCUACUACUGCCUCGCUGGAGCCUCCUCCUCCUCCUCCCCAGCAGACAUAUGGCACAAAGGAGGCCCUUGCCCUGUGAGCCACUUCUGUCCAGAAGGGACCGGCUAUCCCCUUCCCUGCCUUGCAGGAACUUAUAACAACCUGACCAGACAAGCUGCAUGUUCGCCUUGUGCAGCUGGCUACUACUGCCCUGAAAACACCACCAGCUACCAUGCCUA
rnacentral:lncRNA from 1 species